GGGGAGUCAUGGGGUAUUUGAGAGCAGAGGGGGAGUAUUCUUCUGUAAUUCGUAAGUCAUAUCAUAUGAUGUGCGGAAGGGGAAUUUUACUCUGUAACUCACAAGUCUCUCCUUUACUCAAGUCGACUCAAAACCUCCUCGUGGUGGUCCCCGGUAAUGCUAAACUUGUUUAGCAGCUAAUUUGAGCGGC
rnacentral:ribozyme from 1 species